AUUGAACGCUGGCGGCAGGCCUAACACAUGCAAGUCGAACGAGUGGCGGACGGGUGAGUAAUGUCUGGGAAACUGCCCGAUGGAGGGGGAUAACUACUGGAAACGGUAGCUAAUACCGCAUACCAUCAGAUGUGCCCAGAUGGGAUUAGCUAGUAGGUGGGGUAAUGGCUCACCUAGGCGACGAUCCCUAGCUUGGCUGAGAGGAUGACCAGCAGCACUGGAACUGAGAAACGGUCCAGACUCCUACGGGAGGCAGCAGUGGGGAAUAUUGCACAAUGGGCGCAAGCCUGAUGCAGCCAUGCCGCGUGUAUGAAGAAGGCAUUCGGGUUGUAAAGUACUUGCAGCGGGGAGGCGUUACCCGCAGAAGAAGCACCGGCUAACUCCGUGCCAGCCGCCGCGGUAAUAC
rnacentral:rRNA from 1 species